rnacentral:tRNA from 1 species
CAUUAAGAAGCUAUGCAAAAGCACUAGCCUUUUAAGCUAGAAAAAGAGGAACCCUGACCCCUCCUUAAUGA